CGAUAACAUCAAACAGCCGGAACUAUUAACAAAUAAACAACACUAAGAGCUGUAACAACAAGAAAAUGUAAUCAACAAAGAUGGCCUUCAUCAGCCUGUGUCGGCUGUCAUGCCCCAUCUCCCCAUCAAUGGAUAUUAAGCCGGACAUCGUUUUCCUUCAGAUAUCUCCAUACUUCUAAUUAUGUUUUCAUGACUUCCUUUCAACUUCAACAAGUGCGUAUAAUUAUUUACAUCAUCUUAUAUUUAUUGACAAUUGAGCGAAGAGACGCUGGCAGUCGUCGACGUGCCUUCUGGUGCGGAUCCCUCUCGCGUCGAUGAGAUUGGCCGGUCCACAGAUAACGGCUUUUGAGGCGGGAAAAACAGCAUGUCGUCCUCUGCGUGGCUCCUUGGCUGGCACUUUGAAUGCUAUUACUUUAUUUUCUUUUUGUUUUAUUAUCUUCGUCCAGCCACUGAUAUUUUCAGGCUGGUCUGAGCAUUAACUGUGUGAAUAAAUUUUGGCGUACGACACAAA